UACAGAGGUCUCAAGCGUUGUUCGGAUUCAUUGGGCGUAAAGGGUGCGUAGGCGGCGCGGUAAGUCGGGUGUGAAAUCUCGGAGCUUAACCCCGAAACUGCAUUCGAUACUGCCGUGCUUGAGGACUGGAGAGGAGACUGGAAUUUACGGUGUAGCAGUGAAAUGCGUAGAUAUCGUAAGGAAGACCAGUGGCGAAGGCGAGUCUCUGGACAGCAACUGACGCUGAGGCACGAAGGCCAGGGGAGCAAACGGG
rnacentral:rRNA from 1 species